GCCCUCUCAGGGUCACAUCUGGAGAGUUCCCAGUACUAUCCCAGUCUCGACUAUGGGAGGGAGAGUCAAGCGGAGGCCUACCUAUUCCAUUCCGAGCUUGGACAGUGGCUAGUGAAUGGAAGGCAAUCUGCUACAAGU